rnacentral:rRNA from 1 species
CCUACGGGUGGCAGCAGUGAGGAAUAUUGGUCAAUGGACGCAAGUCUGAACCAGCCAUGUCGCGUGCAGGAAGACGGCUCUAUGAGUUGUAAACUGCUUUUGUACGAGGGCAAACGCAGAUACGUGUAUCUGUCUGAAAGUAUCGUACGAAGAAGGAUCGGCUAACUCCGUGCCAGCAGCCGCGGUAAUACGGAGGAUUCAAGCGUUAUCCGGAUUUAUUGGGUUUAAAGGGUGCGUAGGCGGUCGGAUAAGUUAGAGGUGAAAUCCCGAGGCUCAACUUCGGAAUUGCCUAUGAUACUGUUCGGCUUGAGAGUAGUUGCGGUAGGCGGAAUGUGUGGUGUAGCGGUGAAAUGCUUAGAGAUCGUACAGAACACCGAUUGCGAAGGCAGCUUGCCAGGCUACUUCUGACGUUGAGGCACGAAAGCGUGGGGAGCAAACAGGAUUAGAUACCCGGGUAGUC